UCUCCGUUGGUGAACCAGCGGAGGGAUCAUUACCGAGUUAUUACUCCAAACCCUUUGUGAACCUUACCUAUUACUGCUGUUGCCUCGGCGGACGGCUGGCAGGGCACCCCCCCGCGGGGUCGCCCUACCGCCCCCGCCGGCAGCAACAAACUCUUGAAUUUAUAGCGAAUCUACUUCUGAAUAACAAAAACAAACGAAUCAAAACUUUCAACAACGGAUCUCUUGGUUCUGGCAUCGAUGAAGAACGCAGC
rnacentral:misc_RNA from 1 species